rnacentral:rRNA from 1 species
AGAGAUCUGGAGGAAUACCGGUGGCGAAGGCGGCCCCCUGGACAAAGACUGACGCUCAGGUGCGAAAGCGUGGGGAGCAAACAGGAUUAGAUACCCUGGUAGUCCACGCCGUAAACGAUGUCGAUUUGGAGGUUGUGCCCUUGAGGCGUGGCUUCCGGAGCUAACGCGUUAAAUCGACCGCCUGGGGAGUACGGCCGCAAGGUUAAAACUCAAAUGAAUUGACGGGGGCCCGCACAAGCGGUGGAGCAUGUGGUUUAAUUCGAUGCAACGCGAAGAACCUUACCUGGUCUUGACAUCCACAGAACUUUCCAGAGAUGGAUUG